GAAUUUUGGGGGAUUUUUGGAGAAUUUUGGGGGAAUUUUGGGAAUUUGGGGGGAUUUUGGGGGAUUUUUGGGGAAUUUUGGGGGAUUUUGGGCAUUUUGGAGGAUUUUCACAACCCCUUGUUGAGUUCCCAGCGUGGGGGUGGCACCAUCUGAGCUGUGAAAUUCCAAUUUUUCCUUGGAUCCACACCAAAAAAAACCCAAAAAAAGGGGGGAAGCGCUUCCCUGGCUGCUGCUCUGGCAGGGAGGAGGAGUUGAGGAUUUUUGGGAUUUUUGGGAAUUUUUGGGAUGAGAUCCCUGCCUUGGAGCUGGGAUUUGGGAGCAGGGGGGGUUGGAUUUUAUGGAAUCACAGAGAGGCCGUAAAGGCUCAGGAAUUCCCAGAUUUUAGGAAAGGCUCAGGAAUUCCCAGGCUCAGGAAUUCCCAGGCUUUAGGAAUGGCUCAGGAAUUCCCAGCUCUGGGAAUGGCUCAGGAAUUCCCAGCUCUGGGAAUGGCUCAGGAAUUCCCAGGCUCAGGAAUUCCCAGCUCUGGGAAUGGCUCAGGAAUUCCCAGCUCUGGGAAUGGCUCAGGAAUUCCCAGCUCUGGGAAUGGCUCAGGAAUUCCCAGGUUUUAGGAAUGGCUCAGGAAUUCCCAGGCUUUAGGAAUGGCUCAGGAAUUCCCAGCUCUGGGAAUGGCUCAGGAAUUCCCACAGGAAUCCCCAAUCCAGUAAAAUUCCCGGCUGCAGAUCUUUCAUCCUCGCCAGUUCCACCCCUUCCCCUCCUCAUCCAGAGCCUCUGGAACGGGAUGUGGCUGCUGGGAUUUGUUUUUUUGGGAUGCUGCCAGGGAAUCUCCCUCAGUGAUCCAGGAUUUCAGAAAAUCCAGGAUUUUCAGGAUGAUUUGGGGUCGGGGCACCCUCAAUCCUCACCCCAUCCCCGUGGGCAGGGAUUCCUUCCCCGAUCCCAAAUCGCUCCAGGGAUGGAACAGAGGAGAUGAUUCCCUAAAACCUCUCCCUGCUGCGUGGCUGGGGCUGAUCCCAUCAGCAGGGACACAAUUCCCCAUGGGAUUCCUCUGGGAAUGCUCCCCUGAGACCCCUGGAAAUCCCAGCUCCACCAGUAACAACCACAGAGGAAUUCUGCACAAAUCCCAGCCUGGAGACGCUGGGAAAGCCCAGAGCCAAGCCCAGCACGGGGUGUGGAAGGAAAAAUCUGAUUUGAGAGGGAAUUACAAAGAUCCCAAAGGAGCCCCUCUUACCUCAGGAGCAUCAGGGAAGAGCCAAUUCCUGGGAAUGCUGCAGCAGGGACCUCACCCUGAAUUCCUGCACUGGAAAAUUGCAUCCUGCCAGGAAGAAAAUUGAAUCCUGCCAGGGAAUCCUGCCUGGAUUCGUGGCCUGGCUGUCAAAUCCAUCUCAUUUCCAGUGGAAUUGGAGCAUCCAUUCCCAUGGCAAUGCACCAAUCCUUCCCAUUUCUCUCCUAAUAGCUCUCGGAUCGAGUGGAAAAGCUUUGCCAGAGAUCAUCCCUUAGGAUGCAGCUGAUUCCCAAGUGGAAUUUUGUGGUGCUGCCUUUGGAAUAACCCAGCUGGUGCCUGGUUUUUUGUGGGAUGUAGAUGGGAAUGUUGUGGCAGGAUGUGAAUAUAUGGAAUUAACUGGAUGUGCUGGGAGUGUUUUGCAAACAUUCCCUUGGAUCUCACAGCUCCCUCCCUCCUUCCCUCCCUCUUCCAGCCCUUCUCCAGGCAGAUUUUUUAGCCCUGGAGCCUGCCAGAGCUCGUUUGGGAUCCCAAAAUAACCCCUGAGCCUCUCAGAGAUGCUGGAAUUAGCCAGACACUCCGGGGUGAUGCAGGGAUUUGGGAGGGAUGGAGAUUCCUGGGAUCUGAGUCACCCCAGGGACCUGGAGAAGCCUUCCCUGUGCUGCUGGAAUUCUGCUCCCGGCAUCUUCUCCCCUCCCUGCUUUCCCAAAGGGCUCAUCCACAUCUGAUUUUUGUAGGAUUUUCGGGAAAACCCCAACCCAGAGAAAAUCCCCCGUUGUUCUUGGCUCUGUUCACGUCUCCUCUCUGGAAGCGUUUCCCAACAAAAUCCUGGUUUUGUCAGGAGAAAUUGGCUCUGGAACACCCUCCUGCCCUGUGCCUUGGCAUUCCCACCUUUUUCCCUGAGUGGGAACAACUUUUCCAUCCUCCAGGGGUGUAAAACCUCAGCCUGGCCCUGCUGGGAGCUGGCACAAACCUGGGCUUUGUCCUAGGGAGGGGUGAAUGCGAGGAAAACGCUCCAGCUGGAAUUCCAGAGGUAUCCCCUGUUUCCCAGAACACAAAAAUCAACAACACGGAGGCAGAGGUCUGCAGUGAAAGCUGCUCCCCACCAAAAAAAGGGCCCAGCCUGUUUAUUUCUUUUUUUUAUAUAAUUUUAUGGGUCUGGGAGCAGAUUGGAUUCUGGGGUUGCCACCCCUUCACCCCACUGGCCAGACCAGCUGUCAACCAACAUUGUUUUCAGGCUGGAAAUAUGUAAGCAAAGGACAGUGAACAAAAAUAAGAAAGGUUGUUUAUGUUCCAAAGUGUGAGAAAGUGAAAAACUGACCCUUAAUAUUGUACAGAAACUAAAGAACUGACUCCAUCUUAUAAGCAAGUAGAAGGCUUUAAAAAAAUCUCAGAAAAACCAGGGCAACACUUGGUGGCUGUGGCACAGACAGGAUGUGACCAAGUUCAAGAUUUAGGCCUGGAUUGUGUUUGUAGAGGGAAAUUUGGGCAGUGCUGGGCUCCCCCUGCCCUGCCCUCGGCAAAAAUCAGUCCUUGGUUGUUGCCCGGAACACAAAAAUCAACAACACGGAGGAGGCAGAGGUCUGCAGUGAAAGCUGCUCCCCACCAAAAAGGGCCCAGCCUGUUUAUUUCUUUUCCUUUUAUAAUUUUGUGGGUCUGGGAGCAGAUUGGAUUCUGGGGUUGCCACCCCUUCACCCCACUGGCCAGACCAGCUGUCAACCAACAUUGUUUUCAGGCUGGAAAUAUGUAAGCAAAGGACAGUGAACAAAAACAAGAAAGGUUGUUUAUGUUCCAAAGUGUGAGAAAGUGAAAAACUGACCCUUAAUAUUGUACAGAAACUAAAGAACUGACUCCAUCUUAUAAGCAAGGCUUUAAAAAAUCUCAGAAAAACCAGGGCAGGGUUGUUUUUUUUAAAAAAAAAUCUCAGAAAAACCAGGGCAACAAUCCCCAUCACCUCUUUCCUGGGAAGAGCCUCCUCCCCUGCCCGUCCCUUAUCCCUGCUUUCCUUUUCUAUUCAGAUUAUUUCAAUAAAGCCACUGGCUCCGA